rnacentral:ribozyme from 1 species
CUUAUCUUCGGCUUUGCAAUGGGAUGGGAUCCGAAGCCCUCUGAGGGAUAAUACAGGCUCUCCCAUCCAACUCCUAUUUCGACACGUCCUCGUCGUGCAGAGUGGUAACAUGUGCCUCCAUAUAUCCUAGCUUGGGUACACGGGCUAGAUCCAACCCCUUGGGCGUUGGUGGCAUGGUGGCAUAUGGCGAACCAGGAGGGG